UGGGGAAUAUUGGACAAUGGGCGAAAGCCUGAUCCAGCCAUGCCGCGUGAGUGAAGAAGGCCUUAGGGUUGUAAAGCUCUUUCGGCGGGGACGAUAAUGACGGUACCCGCAGAAGAAGCCCCGGCUAACUCCGUGCCAGCAGCCGCGGUAAUACGGAGGGGGCUAGCGUUGUUCGGAAUUACUGGGCGUAAAGCGCACGUAGGCGGACUGCUAAGUCGGGGGUGAAAUCCUGAGGCUCAACCUCAGAAUUGCCUUCGAUACUGGCGGUCUCGAGUGCGGGAGAGGUGAGUGGAAUUCCCAGUGUAGAGGUGAAAUUCGUAGAUAUUGGGAAGAACACCAGUGGCGAAGGCGGCUCACUGGCCCGCAACUGACGCUGAGGUGCGAAAGCGUGGGGAGCAAACAGG
rnacentral:rRNA from 1 species